rnacentral:rRNA from 1 species
UACGUAGGGCGCAAGCGUUGUCCGGAAUUAUUGGGCGUAAAGAGCUCGUAGGCGGUCUGUCGCGUCGGAUGUGAAAGCCCGGGGCUUAACCCCGGGCCUGCAGUGGGUACGGGCAGACUAGAGUGCGGUAGGGGAGACUGGAAUUCCGUGGUGUAGCGGUGAAAUGCGCAGAUAUCAGGAGGAACACCGGUGGCGAAGGCGGGUCUCUGGGCCGAUACUGACGCUGAGGAGCGAAAGCGUGGGGAGCGAACAGG